ensembl:lncRNA
GUCCCUAGACCGGAAGCAGUUGCUUGGGCCUCGGCGAAGGAUUGACGGAGAUGGGGAGGCAGGCCCGCAGGCCUCUGCCUCCUAGCAUCCUGGGCCUUGUUGCGAGAUAACAACAAUAAUGAUUACACUUCCGGGAAGCUUAAUUCGUGUCAGGCACUGCUAAGCGCUUUACCUACCCUGCCCUUCCUCCUCACCAUAGCUGUGUGAAGUAGGCAGAGGUGGAGGAGACACUGAAGCGACUUCAGAGCCAGAAGGGCGUGCAGGGAAUCAUCGUUGUGAACACAGAAGGCAUUCCCAUCAAGAGCACCAUGGACAAUCCCACCACCACACAGUACGCCAACCUCAUGCACAACUUCAUCUUGAAGGCCCGGAGCACCGUGCGUGAAAUUGACCCCCAGAAUGACCUCACCUUCCUUCGAAUUCGCUCCAAGAAAAAUGAAAUUAUGGUUGCACCAGGUAAGGGGUCUUCCACAUCCCCACUUAGGAGCAGACCCUCACAGUGCAUGCUCUGUAGCUAUCAGGACAGCUUAGCACAUGGGUGUCUCCAUAGGUUCCACAGAAAGGCCUGAAGAGCAGAAGGUACAGAUUUGAUUGCCUUACCACCUGGCCUGUCUCCAGCUGGCGUCCCCAACAAGUACUCAUUCACAGUGACUCUAGGCCAGACCCCGUCCUGGGUUCUAGGCCACAGCGGGGAAUUAUGUUCUCAUGGGGGAGAGAGACAUAUAAGCAUAUCACAGUGUAAUCCUCACCUUGAUGUGGGGGAAUUCAAGGAGCACUUGGGAACAUAGAGGAGGGUGUGAUUAGGGCUGCUUGUGGCUGCUUGUGGCGGUCAGCAAAGGCUUCCCAGAGGAGGGAGCACUUGAGCUGAGUCUUGAGGGCACAGGUGAAGAGUAAGCAAGCAGGGUGGGGCUUGGGGGUGCCGGGGGUGAGAAAGCUACGCUUGAAGAAAAAGGAAUUCAGUGCUUCUAAACCAAAGUGUGAGGCAAAAACACCAUGCGCUAUUUUAUCCUUGAAAAAAUGUUAAUUUGCCCACUUCCAAACGAUAGUCCUAUUUCUCUGGACCCCAUGCAGACAGCCCUUCCUCCAGCACUGGAAGAGAUUGCUGAUUUUGUUUCACAUGAAGUGCUUGGCUUGCACUUGGGGACUGUGUGGUGCAAACAAUACCUGUCUUAGGUGUUAGGAUCAUUCUCAGGAUGAUGAGAUGCUUACCGUGGGAGGAACCCAUAAGGACUAGGACCACAGGAGGGGACAGCAGGGCCACCUGCCCUGCCCUGCCUCACCUCACUCACAUGCACAGCCUGGAGUGGUAGAUCCUCCAGGACUGUUUUUGCAGUUACUUCUCCCCCUCCAUCUCAAUUUUGGCUGAGCCCGGUGGUUGCGUGUGCCUGAGCUAAAUGUGCACAUGGUGAUGGAGGCGGCAGCAGUGCAGCUUGUCUAGGGCGCCAGGAUAUGUGUAGGAAGGAGUGUGAGGUGAUACGUUUCAUCCAGUUUAGAAGGGGCCUCAAACACCAAACUCAGCUGCAUGGACUUGACCCUGUGAGCAGAGGUUUUUUUAAGGCAGGAGGUGAUAGGAUUGUGAUUGGGGGCCUGGAUGAAAGAGGGCAGUGGGGAGGCUGGGACAUUGACUGCCCCUGGGCUUUGCAACACAGGUGCCGAGGAGGCUGGCUGCAGAAUUCUGAGGUAUUUGAUGGCGGUCAACCACUCCUUGCAGCAGAGCAAUAUUGGUUCUGUUCCCAGGCCUGUUCGGGUCCAGUUGAGCUGCUUGGAAGGAUGUGAAGGAGAGACCCAUAGAGCCAGUCACAGGGGCCCACAGUCUCCUGGGGACACUCCCUGGAGGGGUGGGGACAGAGCAGGUCAGUCACAAAUAAGAACCUAGGAUAACUUCAGAGUCAUUUAUUCCAAAAACAUACAUACACUGUUUAUCAAUUUAAUCACUGUCUAAUGCAUCUCCGACCAAUGAUGAGGUCUCUGAUUCUGUCAGCAAAAAUACACUGCAGCAGGCACAGCAUCUGUUUUCCCGGCUUCACCUCUUACGAGCAUGACCUGUAGCAAGUCACAGAACACCUCCGAACCUCUGUUUCCACAUCUGUAAAGUGUCUAGUAGGGGCCAUUACUGCUCUGGUAUUCUGAGAUGCCUCAUCUGGUUGAGUAUGUUGGCACGAGUUUGGGCAGAAAGACUUGGAAUCAGAUUUGAACUCGCAUCCCUCCCAAGACUUCAUGCUGUGUGAUUACAGACAAACCUCCACUCCCCUAGAAAUUAGGCUACCAACCCUCCAAAUCAGAGCAGACCUUGUGCCCCACCUGGAAGCUCACAAUGUGAAGCAAGGACAGAUUAUGUGGUCUCCAAGUCGACAGACUCUCGGUGGACAGCAUCUCUUGGCUUAAAGCUUCCAGGAAUGUCUGCUCUGGAACAGCUGAGUUAACACAGUGUAAUCAAGCUUUAACACACUGCUUUCCACAGAGCACUGGGAGUGCUAUUAUUGAAUGUAGAGCUUGAUUAUUCGGAAGAAAAGACACUGGUAUUGCUAAUAGUAUCUGUUUUUAUCAGUUUUAUCGGUGGCUUGUUAAUUAUUUCUAUUUUUAUUAGUGAUUUUUCACUUACGCAGAUUGCUUAGCCAUGAAACUUAAGUCUUAUAAUAUCUGUUCCUUCCCAGAUGUCCGUUGUCAUGGGAAGAAGCAACCUUCAGGCUUGAAUCUGAACAGACACAAAGCAGACAUGGCCAAGGUCCUGCCAUUUUUCACAUGUUCAGCAGGGGGGUAGACCAGAGGCAUUCAGCAUCUGAGUCAAACCCAGCUACCCCACCUGGCAUGUUUACCUUGGCUUGGGCAAGUCAUUUAAUUCUCUGAGCCUUAGUGUUCUCAUUAGUAAAAAUGAGAAAACACUGGGCCCUGCCUCAUAGAGUGAUUCAAGGAUUCAUUGAAGUGCUGUAUGAGAAGUGAUUGACCCAGAGCCAGCACGUGGAAGCCUUCGUGAAUGUUUGCAGUUUGAUUAUUAAGUGGGCAAAGCUGAAACACCCCGCUUCUCCCACUUCCUCUUUUAUAAAGUAAGAGGCAGUCAGGCUCACCCCAGAGGACUUGGACUUGCUAUGAUUUCAUGAUAGACAUUCCUUCUGACUGGCUGGAUCCCCAGAGCUGAAAUUCAGGUAGCUUUGGACCCCUUUGACCUGGUGCCUUUGAAAUUUUCUACUCCAGGAGGCUCUGGAAGGCUAGCAACUGAACUUAUGACAGAACUGACAUUAACCCAAGACCAGCGGGGUUGAGGUUAGAAUUCUAUCUUUGAUACUAACUGGCUGGGUAACCUUAAACUAGUGGUUCUUCGUGCAGCAUCAGCAUCACCUGGGAACUUGUUAAAAAUGCAAAUUAUCUGGCUCCACCCCAGACCCACUGAGUCCAAAGCCUUGGGGGUGGGACCAGUAGUGUUGUUUUAAACAGCCUUCCGAGUGAUUCCGACACCCUGUAGUUUGAGAACCACUGCUGUAGGAAACCUUGAACCUGAGUUUCCCUACCCCAAAAAACGUGAUAAUCCUACCUCCCUGUUGGUACUGGGAAGAUUAGAAAUGAGGAUGCGGGGACUUCCCUGGUGGUCCACUGGUUAAAAAUCCUCCUUCCAAUUCAGGGGACGCGGGUUCGAACCCUGGUCAGGGAACUAAGAUCCCACAUGCCGCAGGGCAGCUAAGCCCACGCACCACAACUACUGAGUCCACAUGCCUCAACAAGAGAAAAACGCGUAUGCGACAACUAGAGAGAAGCCCACACGCCACAAGGAAAGAUCCUGCACACCUCAACAAAGAUCCCUCAUGCCACAACUAAGACCUGAUGCAGCC